AAAAAGGUUCCACACACAUGAUCCACCCUAGAAUGCUGCCACUUAUAAUUGAGGUUUCGGUAUCUUGGCAGAUUUCUACAUUAUCUCAAAGUUCUCCGUCGGGUACCCAGACUACAACACCCUCAACAUUUGAAUCUCCUUGUUCCUUGGGGGUCUAUGGGGGAUGGGGGUUUAGGUAAAUAUGACAGUACAUAUAGGGUGGAGUAUAGAGACCCCAAAAGAUAUUGCAAUAUCAUUCAUAUCCUCGGGAAAAUUGGAUUCAUUGACGUGGGAUUGGUUCAGUUUUGGUUGUGCACCGAAGCUGUUUGUGAAUUUGUCUCAGAGACUCAAAUGCCUUAAUAGUGUCAUCCCUUCUUCAAGGUAGUGGUAUAUGAUGGUGAAUCUUGGUCUUCUAGCCAACCAAGGAAGUUGAUUCCUCUUACUGUCUCUGACUCUGAGUGCAACAUCAAAAUGGAGUAUCAUCAGUCACUGCUCAGGCUUCUAUCUUUUGUAGCGCAUAAACCAUAAUAUUCAGAUCUACUGUGAAAUCUUAUUUGGUUAGCAGUCACAAAUUGCACGUCGCCUGAUUUGCUGGAUUACAAUAUUAUGCAGGUGCAUUGCUUGUUCUGCUAGAUAUAGUGAAAAGUUUGUUUGGUUGGUGCCACUUCUCUACCAUGAAUACAACAACUCGGAUAAAAUUUCACUCGCUUUACAUUCUUUCUCUUCGCCGUAAACAGGUUUGGAGGAUUCUUGAUUUAUUUGGAGCUGAUCCCAAAAUAAGGAAAAAUCAAAAUCGGGUUACUCGAUUUGAGCUGAUCCCGUAGGCGUA